CGGAGUUAAGGGUGUCUUUCGAGGCUCAGUCCCCGCGACGCCGGCUGGUUGGUGCUCCUGCGCCUGAAGAGUUCUGCGUUUCGGGCUGGUGACUGGGUCCAGAAUGGCUUCGGACUCGGGGAACCAGGGGACCCUCUGCACGUUGGAGUUCGCGGUGCAGAUGACCUGUCAGAGCUGUGUGGACGCGGUGCGCAAGUCCCUGCAAGGGGUGGCAGGUGUCCAGGAUGUGGAGGUGCACUUGGAGAAUCAGAUGGUCUUGGUACACACCACUCUGCCUAGCCAGGAGGUGCAGGCUCUCCUGGAAGGCACGGGGCGGCAGGCAGUACUCAAGGGCAUGGGCAGCGACCAGUUGCAGAAUCUGGGGGCAGCAGUGGCCAUCCUGGGAGGGCCUGGCACCGUGCAGGGGGUGGUGCGCUUCUUACAGCUGAGCCCUGAGCGCUGCCUCAUCGAAGGAACUAUUGACGGCCUGGAGCCUGGGCUGCAUGGACUCCAUGUCCAUCAGUAUGGGGACCUCACAAACAACUGCAACAGCUGUGGGGACCACUUUAACCCUGAUGGAGCAUCUCAUGGGGGCCCCCAGGACUCUGACCGGAGAGGGCCAAGAGGACCUUGCCUGCCCAGUCCUUGGGGAGCUCAGAUCCUACCAGACUGGUACCCACAGGAGGAAAUGGGUACUUUGGGGAAGCAGGAAGAGGCAUCGGAAUCAGAAAGUCAGAAGAUAGCAGAUUGGCACCAUGUGGCACACAUCCCCUCUACACACACUGGGUCUCAUUCCAGCACCGCGGAGACCUGGGCAAUGUCCAUGCUGAUGCUGACGGCUGCGCCAUCUUCAGAAUGGAGGAUGAGAAGCUGAAGGUGUGGGAUGUGAUUGGCCGCAGCCUGGUUAUUGAUGAGGGAGAAGAUGACCUAGGCCGGGGAGGCCAUCCCUUAUCCAAGAUCACAGGGAACUCUGGGCAGAGGUUGGCCUGCGGCAUCAUCGCACGCUCUGCUGGCCUCUUCCAGAACCCCAAGCAGAUCUGCUCUUGCGAUGGCCUCACCAUCUGGGAGGAGCGAGGCCGGCCCAUCGCUGGCAAGGGCCGAAAGGAGUCAGUCCAGCCCCCUGCCCACCUUUGAGCAGGACCUCACCUUGGCUCUGUUGCUGUCCUCCAGGGCGAGCACUUUCCUCUUCCAGAGGGGGCCAGAGGGACCUUGCCUGCCCAGUCUUUGGAGAGCUCAGUACAGGGCAGGAGCUGCUGCGGUGUUCCCUUGGCAAAUGAGUUUUAUUUUCAUUUGGGA